rfam:Cavia porcellus supercont2_187 genomic scaffold, whole genome shotgun sequence.
GGGGAUUUAGCUCAGUGGCAUAAGCGCCUGCGUUGCAAGCAGGGAGUCGUGGGUUCAAUCCCCGCUACCG